rnacentral:lncRNA from 12 species
AUGGGAACCGCGCGCAGGCGCAGAGCGGCGCCGGCAGCCGGGCCCCGCCCCGCCCUGGCCACGCCCCCACCGUGGCCACGCCCCCUCGCUCCCGGCCCCGCCCCCCGCCGGCGGGCCGCUCCGGGGCUCCCGUCCGCUCCCGGGGAGGGUAAUGGGGUAAAUCCUCCUCCCCGCGCUGAGCCUACAGGGCUCCCCCACCCACCGCGAGGGGUCCUGCGUGGGCUCCCUGGGCGCAGGGGCAGCCGCGAGACCCCCCAGGUGCAACGGGCAGUGCACCCCGCGCGCUGGGAGAGGGGGGCCCGCCCGGGGGUCGGGGGUGCAGGGACGCGACCCCGGGGACCCCGCGACCCCGCGACCCCGCGUGGGGGGAGGCCUCCCGCUGCAAAGCUCCAGCCUCCGACGGGCGACCCGACAAUGAGAUCAGGCGCGGGCGCACGCACAGGCACAUCUCAGGGGCCCCCCUCUGAGCCCCCCACCGAGCCGGUGCAGGGCCCGUCCUGCAGGGGGGGCUCGGGGAUCCCCACGCACCGCAACCCUGGCUCGCCGGGUCCCGCCCGGGCUGCGGACCGAGCUCGGGCCACCUGCUCGUCCGCACACCUGGUCUGCCCGCCAGCAGCCCCUCUCGCCGCCGGGGUCCCCCCCCCCGCCCCAGCACUGACCUGCUCAACUCCGAGUGCUCAGCAGUUGAAGGAUUCCUGGGGUCCCGGGCACCGGAGCAGCCUGCACGGGGCGGCCUGGGGGUCGAGGGCCCGUCCUCCCGGCCCGAGCGGCCCUGCCGGGGGGCACCGAGAAGCGCACAGCCCCCCGACGCCCGCGGAAGCCCCGAGCCGCCCGGGCAGAGCGGGGCGCCGCCGCCGCGACCUGCUUUCUCAUUCAAAUCCCGACGCGCUCGCCGGAGCCCCCUCCCUCCCGGCCCGCAGCUCCCGGGCAAAUCAGGAACUGGAGCUGCGGAGCGCGGACCGGAGCUCCCGGGGCCUCCCCGCGCCGCAGCCCCCCGCGCCCCCCGCGCCCCCGGGGCACCCGGCCCGCCAGCGAGGCCCCCUGCCCCGCCCGCAGGUCCAAGCCUCCCGAAGCGGGGACACCUCCUCGGGGCUCCGUCUGGAGCCUCGGGGGCUGCAGGAUGCGGGGCUUCGGGGACGCCAGGUCGGAAGCGGGAGCGCAGGGAGCGGCGCCGCUUGCAGCUGCAGCUCAAGGGUCAGAGCCUCACCGCGAAGGGCGUCGCGGGCCGCCCACCUGGCCUUACCUGCGCUUACCUGA